AUUGAACGCUCGCGGGAUGCUUUACACAUGCAAGUCGAACGAGUGGAGGACGGGUGAGUAAUAUAUCGGAACGUGCCCAGUAGCGGGGGAUAACUACUCGAAAGAGUGGCUAAUACCGCAUACUAUUAGAGCGGCCGCUUGCGGAUUAGCUAGUUGGUGGGGUAUAGGCUCACCAAGGCAACGAUCCGUAGCUGGUUUGAGAGGGCGCACAGCCAAACGGGGACUGAGACACGGCCCAGACUCCUACGGGAGGCAGCAGUGGGGAAGUUUGGACAAUGGGGGAAACCCUGAUCCAGCCAUCCCGCGUGUAUGAGAAGGCCUUCGGGUUGUAAAGUACUUUUGGCAGAGAAGCGGUAUCUGCAGAAUAAGCACCGGCUAACUACGUGCCAGCCGCCGCGGUAAUUC
rnacentral:rRNA from 1 species